CCUUUACACAAUUCUACAGAAAGGGUAUAUUGUGUUGGUGUUUCAGAAAUUCUCCUUUUGUGAUUCUCAUUGGAAGGCUGGAGGUAGCCAAGAGGAUCAGACGUUUCUUCUCUCAGAACCCCAGAAGCUGGCCUGAGGCACUAGCAGUCAUGGUAAAGCUUGGAGACAGACAGAGACCUCCAGUGACUGGCAUAAGCAGAAGGAAGUUCAGGGGCCCUGCAGAAUCCACUCCUGCCUGUGAUGCCAAGCUUCUGGGGGCAGCACAGAAGCCAG
ensembl:lncRNA